UACGGAGGAUGCGAGCGUUAUCCGGAUUUAUUGGGUUUAAAGGGUGCGUAGGCGGGAUGCCAAGUCAGCGGUAAAAAUGCGGUGCUCAACGCCGUCAAGCCGUUGAAACUGGCGUUCUUGAGUGGGCGAGAAGUAUGCGGAAUGCGUAGUGUAGCGGUGAAAUGCAUAGAUAUCACGCAGAACUCCGAUUGCGAAGGCAGCAUACCGGCGCCCUACUGACGCUGAGGCACGAAAGCGUGGGUAUCGAACAGG
rnacentral:rRNA from 1 species